CCAUCAGUCAGCUCUACCUGUCCCUGGGCACGGAGUGUGAUUCCAGGGCCUACAAAUCCGCUCUGGACUACACCAAACGAAGUCUGGAGAUUUUCAUUGACCUCCAGAGGAAAGAGGAGGCGCAUGCCUGGCUGCAAGCAGGGAAGAUCUAUUACAUCCUGCGGCAGAGCGAGCUGGUGGACCUGUACAUCCAGGUGAGUGGCAAGGGAUUCAGGAGGACCCCUGUGCUGUUCACUCUCUGUCCAUCCACCCAUCCAUUCAUCCUUCCAUCAUCUAUCUGUUUACCUGCUCAUCCUUCUAUCCAUCAAUCCAUCAUCUAUCCAUCAUCUUCCCAUAUACCUGUGGGUCCUUCCAU
rnacentral:lncRNA from 10 species